rnacentral:rRNA from 1 species
GUAAGGCGUCGGAACAUACCCACAGAUCAAGGAUAGCUACGGGAAACUGUAGGUAAUACUCGAUAAUCUCUUAGGAGCAAAGGUUUACUGUCUGUGGAGUGGCUGACGUGGUAUUAGGUAGUUGGUAGGGUAAUGGCCUACCAAGCCGACGAUGCCUAGGGGGUGUGAGAGCAUGGCCCCCACCAUUGGGACUGAGACACUGCCCAGACACCUACGGGUGGCUGCAGUCGAGAAUCUUCGGCAAUGGGCGAAAGCCUGACCGAGCGACGCCGCGUGUGGGAUGAAGGCCCUUGGGUUGUAAACCACUGUCAGGGGGGAUCAAGGGAAACUUGAGAGAGCCCCAGAGGAAGCACGGGCUAAGUUCGUGCCAGCAGCCGCGGUAAUACGAACUGUGCGAACGUUAUUCGGAAUCACUGGGCUUAAAGGGUGCGUAGGCGGCGAAUCAAGUCUGUUGUGAAAUCUCUCAGCUCAACUGAGAAACUGCAAUGGAAACUGAUUUGCUAGAGUGAGGCAGGGGUGUAGGGAACUUCCAGUGGAGCGGUGAAAUGUGUUGAUAUUGGAAGGAACACCGGUGGCGAAAGCGUUACACUGGGCCUUUUCUGACGCUGAGGCA